rnacentral:rRNA from 1 species
ACUCAAAUGAAUUGACGGGGACCCGCACAAGCGGUGGAACAUGUGGUUUAAUUCGAAGCAACGCGAAAAACCUUACCAGGGCUUGACAUCUAACAAACCUUUGUGAAAGCAGAGGGUGCUCUUCGGAGAAUGUUAAGACAGGUGGUGCACGGUUGUCGUCAGCUCGUGUCGUGAGAUGUUGGGUUAAGUCCCGCAACGAGCGCAACCCUUGUUAUUAGUUGCUAAUAUCGGUAUACUGAUAUUGAGCUCUCUGAUAAGACUGCCGGUGAUAAACCGGAGGAAGGUGGGGACGACGUCAAAUCAUCAUGCCCCUUAUGCUCUGGGCUACACACGUGUUACAAUGGCUAGGACAACGAGCAGCCAACUCGCGAGAGUGAGCAAAUCUCUUAAACCUAGUCUCAGUUCGGAUCGUAGUCUGCAACUCGACUACGUGAAGUCGGAAUCGCUAGUAAACGCAGAUCAGCACGCUGCGUUGAAUACGUUCCCGGGUCUUGUACACACCGCCCGU